ACUCAAAGGAAUUGACGGGGGCCCGCACAAGCGGUGGAGCAUGUGGAUUAAUACGUCACUAACCGUAGAACCUUACCCAGGCUUGACAUCCCGCGAAUCUUCCUGAAAGGGAGGAGUGCUCGCAAGAGAGCGCGGAGACAGGUGUUGCAUGGCUGUCGUCAGCUCGUGUCGUGAGAUGUUGGGUUAAGUCCCGCAACGAGCGCAACCCUCACCGUCUGUUGCCAGCAUUCAGUUGGGCACUCUGACGGAACUGCCCGGGUAACCGGGAGGAAGGUGGGGACGACGUCAAGUCAGCAUGGCCCUUACGCCUGGGGCUUCACACAUGCUACAAUGGACGGUACAGAGGGCGCCGAGACCGUGAGGUGGAGGAAAUCCCAAAAAGCCGUCCUCAGUUCGGAUUGCAGGCUGCAACUCGCCUGCAUGAAGUUGGAAUCGCUAGUAACCGCCGGUCAGCUAAACGGCGGUGAAUACGUUCCCGGGCCUUGUACACACCGCCCGU
rnacentral:rRNA from 1 species